ensembl:lncRNA novel transcript, antisense to DSCR3
ACGUGACCACGCCUACAGCCGAAGAGGAUGGGAAAAUGCGGCCCUGUUCCUGAACAGGAAGCGGAAGCAGGAAGGAACUGAGAACACCAGCAUCUGCUGCCGCCCUGAAUCAGCGUUAGCAUGUGGAGGCAACCUCAGCCCCCAGUUUUUGAAGAAGGUGAUUCAGAUUCAGACACAGGAAUUAUGGUGACGGUAGAAAUGGACUGGAAGGUUCGUUCCCCUUGCCCACCAAGACUCCAGAGCAGAAUAAUCACAAAAACAAGUAUAUGCCGCUGGCUGUAGCUCCCCUUAGGAUUUGGAUAACCAGCUGGAUUUCCAGAUGGCCACUCCCGUUCUCUAUGCUUCCCUCCUCCGGGCUAUAUCCUGCAGAGCUUCAGCGGGAAGUUCUCCGUGAUGAGGUGGUCAGGGUGAAGCAGCACCACGAUGUUAACCUCAAAUUCUGAGAAGAGAAGAGAGGGUGGGUUUGUGCUCACUGUUACCAAGCAGCGAAACCACACGCCGCCACCACUGCAGUCGCAGGAAGCUCUAACGGCGAAGGAGCACCCGGUGCGGGUGGGUUUCAUUGCUGUCCCCUCAGCGCCACCCUGACCUUUCAGCCAAACUUUCAGUGGAGAUGACUAUGCUGAUGUCUGACUACCUCUGUCAACUUUCUCUAAGUGAAUUUUUGUCCUCUCAUCUUGGAACAUGAGUGAUCAGGCUUCACCAACUACACUUUCCCUGUCCCUUUGCUUUCCUAAAAAGGAUAUUCUAGAACCCUUUCAAUUCAUUUGUAUUCCUUUGCCUUAUUUUUACAUUUCCUACGGUUCUUAAUGAAAUAGCAGACUGU